rnacentral:misc_RNA from 1 species
AGCACUGGUAUUUGUGUACAAACUUCUUUUUCAAUAUCAAAAUAUAAGCUUCUUCUGAGUUUUCUCCAAAUUCUUUCAUAAAGAAAAAUGACAAUCAUAGAGAUGAGGGUACAUAUGGAUUGCGCUGGCUGCGAGAGCAAGGUUAAAAGUGCUCUACAGAAACUAAAAGGAGUAGAUGAUGUUGAUAUCGAUAUGGGGUUGCAGAAGGUGACGGUCACCGGAUGGGCUGACCAGAAAAAAGUGCUUAAAACAGUUCGAAAGACAGGAAGAAGGGCAGAGCUAUGGCAAUUACCCUAUAAUCCAGAGCAUCAUAGCUAUGCCACUCACUACUAUGAUCAACACCAGGUUAAUGGUCCCUUGACCUACUAUGCCCCUCAGCCUUCCUCUUCUUACAACUAUUAUAAGCAUGGAUAUGAUAGCAGUGAUCAUGGGCAUUAUCGUCAUCCUGUACAAUCCUCCAUCUUUAGCCACCAGACUGGUGCAGCUUUCAGCGAUGAAAACCCUCACGGUUGUUCAAUUAUGUGAUCUUUAAUUUUAUACUAAUUAAUAUAUUUCAAUAAAAUAAUGUAAAAACACUUCUUUAGUUACUCUUACAUGGGUAUAACUGAAAAUGUGUAAUGCCAAAGAGUUUUCUGCGAAGUACAUGUUAUUAUCCA